AGGGGUAUAGCUCAAUGGUAGAGCAUUUGUCUAGUGUGUAUGAGGCCCUGGAUUCAGUCUCCAGUACCACGA
rnacentral:tRNA from 1 species